rnacentral:rRNA from 1 species
GACGAACGCUGCGGCGUGCUUAAUACAUGCAAGUGGGACGCAAGGGACACACUGUGCUUGCACACCGUGUUUUCUUGAGUCGCGAACGGGUGAGUAACGCGUAGGUAACCUGCCUAUUAGCGGGGGAUAACUAUUGGAAACGAUAGCUAAUACCGCAUAAUAUUAAUUAUUGCAUGAUAAUUGAUUGAAAGAUGCAAGCGCAUCACUAGUAGAUGGACCUGCGUUGUAUUAGCUAGUUGGUAAGGUAAGAGCUUACCAAGGCGACGAUACAUAGCCGACCUGAGAGGGUGAUCGGCCACACUGGGACUGAGACACGGCCCAGACUCCUACGGGAGGCAGCAGUAGGGAAUCUUCGGCAAUGGACGAAAGUCUGACCGAGCAACGCCGCGUGAGUGAAGAAGGUUUUCGGAUCGUAAAGCUCUGUUGUAAGUCAAGAACGUGUGUGAGAGUGGAAAGUUCACACAGUGACGGUAGCUUACC